rnacentral:tRNA from 1 species
GCCGUUGUGGCUCAGUGGUUGAGCAUCGACCUAUGUAUGAGUCAAGAGAUCCUGGUUCGAUUCCUGGUCAGGGCA